UAUUUAAGCUGAAUGCAUUGUGAUUUCCAGUAAUUGAGACAGUGAUUCUGAAAGCUGUCCACAUUAAUGAAAAGAGCAAUGUAGUCAGCUUAACUG
ensembl:miRNA